CCCUUGAUUUCUUUCAUUCUAUAUCGUUGAUAAACCAUAAAUUUAAAAGGUACUUACUAAAAUCUCCUCAUAUUUGCAGGGGAACACCUUAUAAUCAACGAUAAUCAUCAAUUCAUCAUCAUCUUUGUGAACUUUCAGAUGGAGCUCCCUUCAAACUAAAGCUAUUGUAGCAACAAUUACCCACCAUUAUGGCCACAUAAAUGGAGGUCCACGUCAUCAUAAAUUCUAUAUUUUCAAAUUUAGUCUUCAAAUGAAUACAGUGUGAACACUGGUCACUAAACAUGAAACAAACACAUUUUCUUAAACAUUGUUAUUCUUAUUUGGUAUGAGCAGAUGGUUGACAUGUAGACACCAUACCCUUUUUCAAUAGAAAAUAUGCUAAUUCCCCUUUUCUCCAAUCUCAAGAUCAAACAAAUCAACUUCUAAUGGGUGCAUUAUUGGUUUUGACCCCUCCCCAAUCACCUUUUUUGUUUUCAGAACUCCUUUUAACUUAUUUGCCAAAGAUUAUCUCACAUUGGCCCCUCUCCAAUCAUCUUCAAAAAAGAAGUUGACACCUUUAUCUACCAGAGAACCAACUUUACCACAUCAUCAAGGUCAAAUGAAAGAUCCAUCUGAAAGUGGCUGGUCAACCCGACAACCAUUGUAUAUUUUCUUUCUAGCAACAAAGACUUUUGAACAUAGUUAGUUUUGUAGGAACUAAUAUUUGUUCUUGAAAAACACAAUUGCGUUUUAAAAUAUAAAUUAUUUUGAUAAAAAGCUAUGUAUGUGGCCCUGUUAAAUUGGUUUGUGUUUCGUUCUUAUUUAAAUGUCAUUUAAGAGUUUAUGGCAA